rnacentral:rRNA from 1 species
AUACGGAGGGGACUAGCGUUGUUCGGAAUUACUGGGCGUAAAGCGUACGUAGGCGGAUCAGAAAGUAUGGGGUGAAAUCCCAGGGCUCAACCCUGGAACUGCCUCAUAAACUCCUGGUCUUGAGUUCGAGAGAGGUGAGUGGAAUUCCGAGUGUAGAGGUGAAAUUCGUAGAUAUUCGGAGGAACACCAGUGGCGAAGGCGGCUCACUGGCUCGAUACUGACGCUGAGGUACGAAAGUGUGGGGAGCAAACAGGAUUAAACCCUAGUAGUCC